GCGUCGAGUGGAACGCUGAGGGAGUUCGUGUGCUGGCGUCAGACGGUGAGCACUGGGGGCGCUGGGUGGUGGUCGCACUCCCCCUCGGCGUGC
rnacentral:tRNA from 1 species